GAAGGGGCCGAACUAGGAUCGACGUGUGUUGAAAAGCGGCGCUUUUGCUCGGGCUGAGUAACCCGUUCAAGGCUCAAACUCAUAAGUGCCAACGAUAACGAAGCACUUGCUCUUGCAGCGUAAUUGAGGGCCUCGCGGCCUGACAUUACCCUAACAGAACGCGGUUGGACCAACCGGGCAACAGAAUGGAUUCCAGC
rnacentral:tmRNA from 1 species